rnacentral:snoRNA from 1 species
UCCUGCUGUGGUCCUCGAGCCUGAGGAUUGGGUCCUCCUGCUAUUGGGGGAGAUGGACCUCUCUGGAGCCUGGUUGUGACUUUGGCCCAUUGCCCCUCUG